GGUUCUUUAUAUUUUUUUUAAAUACCAGUCCUUUAUCCAAUAUGAAUUUUUAAAAAAAUUGAGUGGGGGCCGAGAGCAGUGGCUCAUGCCUGUAAUCCCAACACUUUGGGAGGCUGAGGCAGGAGGACUGUUUGAGGCCAGGAGUUCAAGACCAGCUUGGGCAAUAUAGUGAGACCCCAUCUCUGCAAAAAAAAGUUUUUAAAAUUCGCAUGGCACGAUGGCAUGCACCUGUAGUCCCAGGUACUUGAGAGGCUGAGGCAGGAGGAUUGUUUGAGCCCAGGAGGUUAAAGUUACAGUGAGCUGUAAUUGUGCCACUGCACUUCAGCCUGGGCCACUGAGCAAGACAGUGUCUCAAAAGAUAGAAAGAAAGAAAAAGAAAGGAAAGAAAGAAAGAGAAAGAGAGAAAAGAAAGAGAAGAAAGAAAGAAGAAAGAGAAAGAAACAAAAAAGAAAGAAAAGAGAAAGAAAGAAAGAAAGAAAAGGAAAGAAAGAGAAAGAAAGAGAAGGAGGAAGAAAAGGAAGGGAGGGAGUGAGGAAGGAAGGAAGGAUGGGUGUGUCCAUACCAAGUGCCAUCCUAUGAAGUGAACUAAACAGAAAAAGUCCUGCCCACAUUGUGCACUUUUCUGGGGGGUGGGUGGUAUUUUAUCAAAAUGGCCAGUGAAGGUCUCUUUAAUAAGACAGCAUUUGAGCAGAAACCAGGAGGAAUCAAAGGAGCAAGCCUUAAGAAGGGUGGAAAGAGAGCUCCAGGAAAAGGGAUGGUGUGUGCCAAGGUCCUGGGGACACCCAGCCUAUUUGCAGAAGAUCAUGAGAGAAGAUGGGUUGGGGGUAGGGGGUGGGUCCCUGUGAAGGACUUAGACUUUGGGCUCUGUAUUUGUUUCCUGUGACUGCUGUAACAAAUUGCCACAAACUGGCCGGGCGCGGUGGCUCAUGCUUGUAAUCGCAGCAUUUUGAGAGGCCAAGGUGGGCGGAUCACCUGAGGUCAUCCUGGCCAACAUGGUGAAACCCCAUCUCUACUAAAAAUACAAAAAUUAGCAGGUGUGGUGGUGCAUACCUGUAAUCCCAGCUACUCGCGAGGCUGCAUUGAGUGUUGCUGAGAACUCAUGCAGGUGACGGACCACUGGAUCCAACAGCAUGAAGGCCAGCAGUGACCUUGGCCAGAGCCACUUUUGUGAGGUGGUGUGCAUGUGAGUAAUGUGGACCAGAGCCAGCUGGAGUAGGAUCAGGAGAAGAAGGGAGGAAACAGCAGGUGUGGGCCACUGUCCUAAAGUUAUCUAUGAAAGUUAUUCUUCUAUAAAGAGGCACAGAUAAGUGAAGCAAUAGUGAGAGGAGGGGUAUCAAGAGAGAAUGUUUUAGUAUGCCAUUUUGUUUAUUUAUUUACUUGUUACAUAAAUGAAGUUAUAUUUAUAUAUUUUAGUAAGUUACUUUCUUUGGGCAAAAUACAUUGUAAUUAUCCUAUUUGCUAUAGUUCUGCAAUUAACUUCAAAAUUUUUAAAGUUAGCCAGUCAGUGAAUCUGCUUACCUGAUUGUGUUUGUGCAGAUAUAUUUUAAAAACUGGCAAUAGUAGGCUGGGCAUGUUGGCUCACACCUGUAAUCCCAGCACUUUGGGAGGCUGAGGCGGGUGGAUCACCUGAGGUCAGGAGUUUGAAACCAGCCUGACCAAUAUGGUGAAACCCCGUCUCUACUAAAAAAUACCAAAAUUAGUUGAGCAUGGUGGCGGGCUCCUGUAAUCCUAGCUACUUGGGAGGCUGGGGCAGGAGAAUCGCUUGAACCUGGGAGAUGGAGGCUGCAGUGAGCAGAGAUGGCGCCACUGCACUCCAGCCUGAGCGACAACGAGACUCCCUCUAAAAAAAAAGCCACAUUAUGAGCCUUAAGGACGUUGAAGAUGUUAAGGUCCCUGAAAACGGCUAAAACAAAUUUUAAUGAUGGCAAACAUUUAUUUAUUUAUUUAUUUAUUUUUUUGAGAUGGAGUCUCGCUCUGUUGAGUGACAACACAUGGUCUCACUUAUAUGCGGAAGCUAAAGAAGAGCUCACAGACUUGGUGAAUAGAACAGUGGUUACAGGAAACAGCAGGGGAGUGAGGUGCUGGCGGUGGGGAGCUUGGUUAACAUGAACAAAGCUACAAUUAGAAAGGAAGAAGUUUUGGUCUUCUCAUGGGGUGAGUAAUUUACUGUAUAUUUUCAAGCAGCUAGAAGAGAGGAUUUUGAAUGCUUUCAACACAAACAAAUGAUAACUGUUUGAGGUCAUGGAUAUGCUAAUUAGACUGAUUUGAUUAUUACACACGGUACCCAUGCACCAAUACAUCACACUUUACCCCAUAAAUAUCUACAAUUAUUACAUGUCAAUUUAAAAAAUCCAUGGAAACAAAAAGUAGAAUGACUUUUGCUAGAGUCUUGGGGAAGAGAGAAAUGAUGAGCUAGUGUUUAAUGGGUCCAGAGAUUCUGGUCAGGAUGAAAAAGUUCUGGAAUUGGAUGGUGGUGAUGAUGGUUGCACAAAAUUGUGAAUUUACCUAAUGCCACAGGGCUGUACUCUUAAAAUGUUAAAAUGGUAAGUUUUAUGUUACAUAUGUCUCAUCACAAUUAAAAAUAAAAGAGUACAUGCAUUCAUUUUGAGAAAAAACAAGUCUCCUUCACUUUGAAGGUGUCAGCUCCCAGAACAUAAGGACAAAGAGAAAACCUCAGAGUCAUGUUUAACAUGUCUGAUUUAUACUGAGGACAAAUUAAAGAAAGUAAUUUAUAUAACGAAGAGUAAACUUAUGGAACUCAUUGCCGAAAGAGGAGGCACAGACAUAAAAAUAUCCAAAGACAUCUACGAGGAAUUGUUCACACAUUUAUUGCAUUUAUUGACAGCAGCCUAACAGAACAUGGAGCACGAUCACGUUUGGAGUCACCCUGAGGUUCACAUCACAGCACACAAGCAGCUUUUUGCCCUACAGGCAUUGCGCCCCAGUGAGUUUCUGAGGACAGGAAUGGGGAGCUGGACGGACCUGCAGGUCCUCCCCAUGGAACAAACGCUGCACCUUGCACACACCUGGGUCCCUGCUAUGUCCAGCCCCAACCUGUGCACAGUGAGGAGAGCACACCUGGUGAUCAGGAUGGGGUCCACCCUGAGAUGUUCAUCGCCUACCUGUGCAUGAUGAGGGCAGCACACCUGGUUGUAAACACAAGGUCACCCCUGAGAUGCCCAGUGCCUACCUCUACAUGGUAAGGACAGCACAAAGUCACCUCUGAAAUGCCCAGUGCUUGUACAUUGUGAGGGAAUCACACCUGGUUGUCAGCACGGCAUCACCUCUGAGAUGUCCUCCCGUUCACAUGUGUAGCAACAGAAAAGGUCUGGCUUAACAACUGUCAUUCUCAGCUCCCAAACAAAGCAGAAUAGGGUGUUGUACUCAUAUUUAAAGCUUUGUUUUGUAUCGUAUCUGUUUUUAUAAAUUGUCUAUUUCUUUUUCCAUGUAGGCUAAAGUUACAUCUUCAAUAAGCCAAGUAAUAGGAAAUUACUUUGCUCAUCGCAGUGACCCUGGAAUGUAGCAUAGUAUCAGAAAGUAGGAAAGUACCCCCCAAGAAUGUGUUUUUAAGAUGAGGGCACAUCAGAAAGACCCAAGAAUCAAUCUAAUAAAGCUCCCAGUGGCCUGAGCUAAUAUAAUUUGAGCACCAUAAUAAAUUUCAAUCGUAUUGAAUUAUCAUCUAAAGAAUAAAAUAAAUAUCCAUCAGCACAUACUGAUAUAAAUAAAUAAAUAAAUAAACAAAAGAAGGAGGACCAAUCUUUCUUACAUAAGAAAUCCAAUUAAUAAAUGUAGAGAGAAUUGGAGAAACAGGGAAUCGCCACUGGAACACCACAGAUAUCAUUGCUACGGGCAAGACUAAUUGAUAAUUGCUAAAAUUAGUGAUUGAACCUUAAGGAGUAACAAGAUAUUUGCAUCAUAUUUGUAUCCCUUCCUAAAUUUACUAACCACUCUUAUGGUUUUAAAACAUGACUUUGGGCCGGGCGCAAUGGCUCACGCCUGUAAUCCCAGCACUUUGGGAGGCCAAAGCGGGCGGAUCACGAGGUCAGGAGAUCGAAACCAUCCCAGCUAACACUGUGAAACCCCAUCUCUACUAAAAAAACACAAAAAAAAAUUAGCCGGGCGUGUUGGCGGGCGCCUGUAGUCCCAGCUACUCGGGAAGCUGAGGCAGAGGAGAAUGGCAUGAACCCGGGAGGCAGAGCUUGCAGUGAGCUGAGAUUGCGCCACUGCACUCCAGUCUGGGUGACAGAGCAAGACUCCGUCCCCAAAAAAAAAACAAACAAAAAAAAAAACAUGACUUUCAUACUCAAGUAUAGACUGGACUUAGUGACCUGCUUUUAUGAAUAGAUGACAGAAAGAGGAAAAUUGUAACUUGACAGUGGGGAAACCUAACAGACAUCACAUUAGCCAGGUGAUCAAAGUUAAUGUUACCUGCAGUCAUGCUGACAUUAUACGCCCACUAACAUGAUACAAUGAGAAGGGCCUAUCACCUCUGUGGUGUUCUUCUCCAAAAUCCACAGCCUCAGAAUGUUUAUGAGAAACCAUCAGAUAAACCCAAGUUAAGGGCAUUCUACAAAACACCUGACCACUACUCUUCAAAACAUCUAAAGUCAUGAAAGACAAGAAAGUACAGAGAAGCUAUCACAGAUUGGUGGAAACUAGGGGGACAUGAUGAGUGAAGGUAUCAGGAUAUCCCAAACAGGGUCCUGGAACAGAAAAAGCACAUUAACAGAAAAAGUUAAGAAGUCCAGGCCGGGCGCGGUGGCUCACGCCUGUAAUCCCAGCACUUUGGGAGGCCGAGGCGCUCGGAUCACAAGGUCAGGAGGUCAAGACCAUCCUGGCGAACACGGUGAAACCCUGUCUCUACUAAAAAUACAAAAAAUUAGCCGGGCGUGGUGGUGGGCACCUGUAGUCUCAGCUACUCGGGAGGCUGAGGCAGGAGAAUGGCGUGAACCUGGGAGGUGGGGCUUGCAGUGAGCCGAGAUGGCACCCACUGCACUCCAGCCUGGGCGACAGAGCGAGCCUCCAUCUCAAAAAAAAAUUUGAGAAGUCCAAAUAAAGUUGGUAGUUCUCUUGCUAAUAUUGCACCACAUCAAUGUCUUAGUUUUGAUAAACAUACUAUGUAAGACGUUAACAUUCGGGGAAGUUGGGUGAAGGGUGUAUGGGAACACUCUGUACUGUCUUAGUAACUCUUUAUGAAUUCUAAAAUUAUUUCAAACUAAAAAGUUUUGUAGAAUAGGUAGAGUUGCAAAUAAUUUGGUGAGAGGUGCAGAUGGAGGUAUCUCUUAUCUGUGAGGCAAUAAGUCAAGUAAAUUGCUGAGAAAAAUGUGGGUGGGAGAAAAUGGCACAGAGGGCCUUUGUCAUGACUUGCCUGAAGGUCGAUACUGCAUUAGAAAAAAAUUAUCCAAAAAUGACCACACUGUGCUAUAAUGGUGCCAUGUCUCCAUGUAUCUGCCACAUCUGCAUUCUCUGGGCUUGCUGUAGUGAUGGGAGGGAUUCAAAUCCUCCUCUUCAGCAAAAGAAGUUUCUGGAUGGAUGGUCUGAGACAAGAAGGGAUGUCCUUUCCCCGGGCUGCGCACGGAUUCCAAUGCCCCACUAAAUGAUGCUAACAGGCAUCAUCUCUGGCCACUGAAGCCCAGGCUCUUAAGUUUAAUCAUAAAACGCUUUGGUCUCAUGGGCUGCAAACCACCAAGAUAGAACUAAGAUUGAUAAGAAAAAUAUACUGUUUACUCAAAACAGGUGUAUACCAGCCUACAUAUUUAUAAUGUCCUAUUAUACGGUUGUACAGUUCAUAUCCUCAAUAAUUCAGUAGGUAUCUCGCUAACAUCUAUUUGAAAUCCCCCCCAGAAUAACAUUUAGCAAUAGCUUCCUGAUCUCUUUAGAAUGGUGUCCUUAUUUUUCUUAAACAUUUGAUAUGUUACACCACCCAGGUGGAAAAUAGAACACAGAGUGUAGGAUACACACUUACUCACCAUAAAAACAACCAUACUGUAACACCAAAAUAUAUUUAUCCAAUUGGUCAAGGAAAUUGAAUUUAACAUAUGCUGUUAUCGUACAAGCAUUUUUAAUGAAAUAACAUUUUGUAUGUAUAUAGCACCUUUCUACUAAGGAGCAAAAAUAUGGCUCAGACAUUAUUACUCAUUUUCACACUAUCCUCGACAGGUGGAUAAGUAGCAACAUUUAUACCAAGUUUUAAUCACUGGGAAACAAAGACAUGCAUAAAGAGAGCAAAUAAACCACAAAUGGUAACCCAGAAAGUUGGCAUUUUCCACCCCCCAAUGCCCACUGUGGUCCCCUCACUCUUUUUUUUUCUGCAAUAUUAAAAGCUACUUUGAAUAUUGGUGGAAAAAAAAUAGAGGAACAGUAGAGUGAUGAAACAGGUAUAUACCAGCCUCCUCAGGAAACUGAUGGUGGAGCUUAGACUGGAAACUGUUGAAAGUUAAAAAUAAUUCCCAAACCUUGACCAUCUACUUGGACAAAUUUGAUGUGUACCAGGGACAAAUGAAAGUAUCCUUCCAAAAUACGUCCCAAAUUAUUGUCAAGCCUUUCUGUAAUAAAGGUCCAUUCCUCAAGCUGCUGUCACAUAAUGUGCAGGUGAUCAACAGCAAAUCCAUUAGCAACACAGGAUAAAGAAAUUUGUGUAGCCCCAAUAGCAAAGACUUGGAACCAACCCAAAUGUCCAACAAUGGUAGACUGGAUUAAGAAAAUGUGGCAC
rnacentral:lncRNA from 10 species